rnacentral:rRNA from 1 species
UACGUAGGGGGGCUAGCGUUGUCCGGAAUCAUUGGGCGUAAAGCGCGUGUAGGCGGUUCGAUAAGUCUGCUGUGAAAGUCCAGGGCUCAACCCUGGAAUGCCGGUGGAUACUGUCGGACUAGAGUGCGGAAGAGGAGUGUGGAAUUCCUGGUGUAGCGGUGAAAUGCGCAGAUAUCAGGAGGAACACCAAUAGCGAAGGCAGCUCGCUGGGACGUUACUGACACUGAGGCGCGGAAAGCGUGGGGAGCGAACAGG